UUCCGGUUGAUCCCGCCGGACCUGACUGCUAUCGGAUUGAUACUAAGCCAUGCGAGUCAUUGUAGUAAUACAAGGCAGACGGCUCAGUAACGCGUAGUCAACCUACCCUAUGGACGAGGAUAAUCUCGGGAAACUGAGGAUAAUACUCGAUAGAUCAUUAUGCCUGGAACGGUUAAUGGUUAAAACGAUUCGUCGCCAUAGGAUGGGACUGCGGCCUAUCAGCUUGUUGGUGAGGUAAUGGCCCACCAAGGCGAUUACAGGUACGGGCUCUGAGAGGAGAAGCCCGGAGAUGGGUACUGAGACAAGGACCCAGGCCCUAUGGGGCGCAGCAGGCGAGAAAACUUUGCAAUGUGCGAAAGCACGACAAGGUUAGUCCGAGUGAUUUCUGCUAAAGAAAUCUUUUGCAAGUCAUAAAACCACUAGUGAAUAAGGGGUGGGCAAGUUCUGGUGUCAGCCGCCGCGGUAAAACCAGCACCUCAAGUGGUCAGGAUGAUUAUUGGGCCUAAAGCAUCCGUAGCCGGCUCUGUUAGUUUUCGGUUAAAUCUAUGUGCUCAACGCAUGGGCUGCCGAAAAUACUGCAGGGCUAGGGAGUGGGAGAGGUAGACGGUACUCGGUAGGAAGGGGUAAAAUCCUUUGAUCUAUCGAUGACCACCUGUGGCGAAGGCGGUCUACCAGAACACGUUCGACGGUGAGGGAUGAAAGCUGGGGGAGCAAACCGGAUUAGAUACCCGGGUAGUCCCAGCUGUAAACGAUGCAGACUCGAUGAUGCAUUGGCAUAUAGCCAGUGCAGUGUCGCAGGGAAGCCGUUAAGUCUGCCGCCUGGGAAGUACGUACGCAAGUAUGAAACUUAAAGGAAUUGGCGGGGGAGCACCACAAGGGGUGAAGCCUGCGGUUCAAUUGGAGUCAACGCCGGG
rnacentral:rRNA from 1 species